rnacentral:rRNA from 1 species
UACGUAGGGGGCAAGCGUUGCCCGGAAUUAUUGGGCGUAAAGAGCGUGUAGGCGGUCCGGUAAGUCGGCUGUGAAAGUCCAGGGCUCAACCCUGGGAUGCCGGUCGAUACUGCCGGACUAGAGUUCGGAAGAGGCGAGUGGAAUUCCCGGUGUAGCGGUGAAAUGCGUAGAUAUCUGGAGGAAUACCGGUGGCGAAGGCGGCAUCCUGGACCGACAUUGACGCUGAUGAGCGAAAGCGUGGGGAGCGAACAGG